rnacentral:tRNA from 1 species
GGGCCCAUAGUUUAACUGGUGAAAACACCCGACUGAUAAUCGGGAGAGUGCUUGUUCAAGUCCAGCUGGGCCCA